AACGAACGCUGGCGGCGUGCUUAACACAUGCAAGUCGAACGAGAAAGCUCCUUCGGGGGUGAGUAGAGUGGCGCACGGGUGAGUAACACGUGGGUGACCUGCCCUUAGGUUUGGGAUAACUCGGAGAAAUUCGAGCUAAUACCGAAUAAGACCACAUCUCUUGUGAUGUGGUAAAAGUUUGGGACCUCUUCGGAGGCCAGACGCCAAAGGAUGGGCCCGCGGUCCAUCAGGUAGUUGGUGGGGUAAUGGCCUACCAAGCCUAAGACGGAUAGCUGGUCUGAGAGGAUGAUCAGCCACACUGGAACUGAGACACGGUCCAG
rnacentral:rRNA from 1 species